AAUUAACGCUGGCGGCGUGCCUAAUACACGCAAGUCGAGCGAACAGAUAAGGAGCUUGCUCCUUUGACGUUAGCGGCGGACGGGUGAGUAACACGUGGGUAACCUACCUAUAAGACUGGAAUAACUCCGGGAAACCGGGGCUAAUGCCGGAUAACAUUUAGAACCGCAUGGUUCUAAAGUGAAAGAUGGUUUUGCUAUCACUUAUAGAUGGACCCGCGCCGUAUUAGCUAGUUGGUAAGGUAAUGGCUUACCAAGGCAACGAUACGUAGCCGGACUGAGAGGGUGAUCGGCCACACUGGAACUGAGAAACGGCCCAGACUCCUACGGGAGGCAGCAGUAGGGAAUCUUCCGCAAUGGGCGAAAGCCUGACGGAGCAACGCCGCGUGAGUGAUGAAGGGUGUCGGCUCGUAAAACUCUGUUAUUAGGGAAGAACAAACGUGUAAGUAACUGUGCACGUCUUGACGGUACCUAAUCAGAAAGCCACGGCUAACUACGUGCCAGCAGCCGCCGUAA
rnacentral:rRNA from 1 species